rnacentral:rRNA from 1 species
AGACGAACAGCUCAGUAACUCUUAUUUGAUUUGAUGUAUUAGGAUUCUAACUAUGUUAAAUUAUAGGUAACAAUAAUACAAUAAGAAUAAGAUCUAUCAGUUAGUUGUUAAGGUAAUGGCUUAACAAGACUAUGACGGAUAACGGUAUUACUUUGUAAUAUUCCGGAGAAGGAGCCUGAGAGAUUGCUACUAAGUCUAAGGAUUGCAGCAGGGGCGAAACUUGACCUAUGAUAUUAUAUUGAGGCAGUUAUGAGUAGUAUUUUAUAAUUAUUGUAGUAUUGUAAGUACAUAUUACAAGAUAAAUCGGAGGGCAAAUCGAGUGCCAGCAGCCGCGGUAAUACUUGUUCCGAUAGUGUGUAUGAUGAUUGAUGCAGUUAAAAAGUCUGUAGUUUAUUUAUAAUAAGCAUUGUAAGGUAUACUGUAUGGUUAGGAGAGAGAUGAAAUGUGAUAACCCUAACUGGAUGAACAGAAGCGAAAGCUGUAUACUUAAAUGUAUUAUUAGAACAAGGACGUAAGCUAGAGGAUCGAAGAUGAUUAGAUACCAUUGUAGUUCUAGCAGUAAACUAUGUUGAAUCAUAGAUAUAUUUUGAUAUAUAUUUAUGUAGAGAAAUUAAGAUUAUAUUGACUCUGGGGAUAGUAUGAUCGCAAGAUUGAAAAUUAAAGAAAUUGACGGAAGAAUACCACAAGGAGUGGAUUGUGCGGCUUAAUUUGACUCAACGCGGGGUAAUUUACCAGGUAUAACAUGGUAUAAUAUUUUAUCAUGAUAGUGGUGCAUGGCCGUUUCCAAUGGAUGCUGUGAAGUAAUGAUUAAUUUCAACAAGAUGUGAGACCCUCAUUUAGACAGAUGUAGUGAUACAUAUGAAGGAGAGGAUUAAAACAGGUCCGUUAUGCCCUAAGAUAAUCUGGGUUGCACGCGCAAUACAAUAAUAUUUGAUAUUAUAAGGGAUAAUAUAAUGUAAGAUAUAUUUGAAACAUGGAAUUGCUAGUAAAUUUUAUUUAAUAAGUAGAAUUGAAUGAGUCCCUGUUCUUUGUACACACCGCCCGUCGCU